rnacentral:rRNA from 1 species
UACGUAGGUGGCAAGCGUUGUCCGGAUUUACUGGGCGUAAAGGGCGUGUAGGCGGUUUGUUAAGUCAUGUGUGAAAUCCCUCGGCUCAACCGGGGAACGACGCAUGAAACUGGCAAGCUAGAGUACCAAAGAGGGGGUGGAAUUCCCGGGUGUAGCGGUGGAAAUGCGCAGGAUAUCAGGAGGAACACCGGUGGCGAAGGCGGCUCUCUGGACCGUAACUGACGCUGAGGCGCGAAAGCGUGGGUAGCGAACAGG